rnacentral:rRNA from 1 species
GAUCAUGGCUCAGAUUGAACGCUGGCGGAAUGCUUUACACAUGCAAGUCGAACGGCAGCACGGGGGCAACCUGGUGGCGAGUGGCGAACGGGUGAGUAAUACAUCGGAACGUGCCCAAUCGUGGGGGAUAACGUAGCGAAAGUUACGCUAAUACCGCAUACGAUCUACGGAUGAAAGCGGGGGAUCGCAAGACCUCGCGCGAAUGGAGCGGCCGAUGUCAGAUUAGGUAGUUGGUGGGGUAAAGGCUCACCAAGCCAACGAUCUGUAGCUGGUCUGAGAGGACGACCAGCCACACUGGAACUGAGACACGGUCCAGACUCCUACGGGAGGCAGCAGUGGGGAAUUUUGGACAAUGGGCGCAAGCCUGAUCCAGCCAUUCCGCGUGCAGGAUGAAGGCCUUCGGGUUGUAAACUGCUUUUGUACGGAACGAAACGGCGAGCUCUAAUACAGUUUGCUAAUGACGGUACCGUAAGAAUAAGCACCGGCUAACUACGUG